CGCUGAAGAUGUCCCCCAGGUGCUGUCCCCAUGGUUGUCCCCUGUCCCCAAAGAUGUCACCCAGGUUCUGUCCCCUGUCCCAGGUGCUGUCCCGUAGGUGCCAUCCCCUGUCCCCAGAGGUGUCCCAUGUCCCCCAGGGGUCAUCCCCAAAGAUGUCACCCAGGAUCUGUCCCCUGUCCCCAAGGCACUGUCCCUUGUCCCCUAUUGCUGAAGAUGUCCCCCAGGUGCUGUCCCCAUAGAUGUCCCCAGGUGAUGUUCCCUGUCCCCACAGAUGUCACCCAGGGUCUGUCCCAUGUCCCAGGUGCUGUCCCCUGUCCCCUAUUGCUGAAGAUGCCCCCCAGGUGCUGUCCCCAUAGAUGUCCCCAGGUGAUGUUCCCUGUCCCCACAGAUGUCACCCAGGGUCUGUCCCCUGUCCCCAGGCGCUGUCCUUUGUCUGGGAUGUCCCCUGGGGAUGUCCCCUGUCCCAGGUGCUGUCCCAUAGGUGCCAUCCCCUGUCCCCAGAGGUGUCCCAUGUCCCCCAGGUGCUGUCCCCACAGAUGUCCCCAGGUUCUGUCCCCUGUCCCAGGCACUGUCCCUUGUCCCCUAUUGCUAAAGAUGUCACCCAGGUGCUGUCCCCACAGAUGUCCCCCAGGGUCUGUCCCCUGUCCCCCAGGGUCUGUCCCCUGUCCCCUAUUGCUGAAGAUGCCUCCCAGGUGCUGUCCCCAUAGAUGUCCCCAGGUGAUGUCCCCUGUCCCCACAGGUGUCCCCAGGGGUUGUCCCCUGUCCCCCAGGCGCUGUCCCCUGUCCCCUAUUGCUGAAGAUGUCCCCCAGGAGCUGUCCCCACAGGUGUCCCCAGGUUCUGUCCCCUGUCCCAGCUGCUGUCCCCUGUCCCCUAUUGCUGAAGAUGUCACCUGGGUGCUGUCCUCACAGAUGUCCCCAGGUGAUGUCCCCUGUCCCCAAAGAUGUCACCCAGGGUCUGUCCCCUGUCCCCCAGGUUCUGUCCCCUCUCCCCUAUUGCUGAAGGUGUCACCUGGGUGCUGUCCCCAUAGAUGUCCCCAGGGGUUGUCCCCUGCCCCCCAGCUGCUGUCCCCUGUCCCCAAAGAUG
rnacentral:lncRNA from 1 species